UAGGGAAUCUUCGGCAAUGGACGGAAGUCUGACCGAGCAACGCCGCGUGAGUGAAGAAGGUUUUCGGAUCGUAAAGCUCUGUUGUAAGAGAAGAACGAGUGUGAGAGUGGAAAGUUCACACUGUGACGGUAUCUUACCAGAAAGGGACGGCUAACUACGUGCCAGCAGCCGCGGUAAUACGUAGGUCCCGAGCGUUGUCCGGAUUUAUUGGGCGUAAAGCGAGCGCAGGCGGUUAGAUAAGUCUGGAGUUAAAGGCUGUGGCUUAACCAUAGUACGCUUUGGAAACUGUUUAACUUGAGUGCAAGAGGGGAGAGUGGAAUUCCAUGUGUAGCGGUGAAAUGCGUAGAUAUAUGGAGGAACACCGGUGGCGAAAGCGGCUCUCUGGCUUGUAACUGACGCUGAGGCUCGAAAGCGUGGGGAGCAAACAGGAUUAGAUACCCUGGUAGUCCACGCCGUAAACGAUGAGUGCUAGGUGUUAGACCCUUUCCGGGGUUUAGUGCCGCAGCUAACGCAUUAAGCACUCCGCCUGGGGAGUACGACCGCAAGGUUG
rnacentral:rRNA from 1 species